UUCUGCUGAGAAUCCUCCAAAGACAGCAGUUGACUGGAGAAUUGAAAAUGGAAUUUUAUCCCUUUUAACCGGGUAUCCCUAAGCAUCCCUAAUGCAUUUUCACCUCCCAUCCCCUGCCCCUCCCUCCACUUUAUAGGUGAGACGGAUGUCUUGAAGCAAGAGGGGACUGCUCUAUUGGAAUCAUUUGUAGACCCUGUUGUAAUCCAUCAUCCCGAGGGCCACACAGUUCCAAGACUUGAUGAGAAGGCCCAGGAAACCGUGCUCCAAUUCAUCCGGAAGAUUUGGAAUAUCUCAUGGCAGGAAGAGUAGAAGGUCUGCUUAGCUGAGACAGCAGACUUGUUACUUGAUUUCUUCUCAUUAAAUAUCAUGAUAGCCUUUCCUUUUUUCCUGAUGAUUUCUGGCUGUUAGGAAAAAGACCUCUUGUUAUUUGAUGUAAUCGGAUCAAAAUAAUUCAAUCGUAUCCCAAUAUAAUGAAUGAUAAGGCUUUUGUAUAAAA